rnacentral:rRNA from 1 species
UACGUAGGUGACAAGCGUUGUCCGGAUUUACUGGGCGUAAAGAGCGCGCAGGCGGUCGAUCAAGUCGAGUGUGAAAGCCCCCGGCUCAACUGGGGAGGGUCAUUCGAUACUGAUCGACUCGAAGGCAGGAGAGGGUAGUGGAAUUCCCGGUGUAGUGGUGAAAUGCGUAGAUAUCGGGAGGAACACCAGUGGCGAAGGCGGCUUGCCAGAACGCGCUCGACGGUGAGGGAUGAAAGCUGGGGGAGCAAACCGG